UAAGUUAUCGUUUAUUUGAUAGUACCUUACUACUUGGAUAACCGUGGUAAUUCUAGAGCUAAUACAUGCUAAAAAUCCCGACUUCGGAAGGGAUGUAUUUAUUAGAUUAAAAACCAAUGCCCUCUGGGCUCCUUGGUGAUUCAUGAUAACUUCUCGAAUCGCACGGCCUUGUGCCGGCGAUGGUUCAUUCAAAUUUCUUCCCUAUCAACUUUCGAUGUUUGGGUAGUGGCCAAACAUGGUUGCAACGGGUAACGGAGGGUUAGGGCUCGACCCCGGAGAAGGAGCCUGAGAAACGGCUACUACAUCCAAGGAAGGCAGCAGGCGCGCAAAUUACCCAAUCCCGAUUCGGGGAGGUAGUGACAAUAAAUACUGAUACAGGGCUCUUUUGGGUCUUGUAAUUGGAAUGAGUACAAUUUAAAUCCCUUAACGAGGAACAAUUGGAGGGCAAGUCUGGUGCCAGCAGCCGCGGUAAUUCCAGCUCCAAUAGCGUAUAUUAAAGUUGUUGUGGUUAAAAAGCUCGUAGUUGAACCUUGGGCCUGGCUGGCCGGUCCGCCUCACCGCGUGUACUGGUCCGGCCGGGCCUUUCCCUCUGUGGAACCCCAUGCCCUUCACUGGGCGUGGCGGGGAAACAGGACUUUUACUUUGAAAAAAUUAGAGUGCUCCAGGCAGGCCUAUGCUCGAAUACAUUAGCAUGGAAUAAUGAAAUAGGACGUGCGGUUCUAUUUUGUUGGUUUCUAGGACCGCCGUAAUGAUUAAUAGGGACAGUCGGGGGCAUCAGUAUUCAAUUGUCAGAGGUGAAAUUCUUGGAUUUAUUGAAGACUAACUACUGCGAAAGCAUUUGCCAAGGAUGUUUUCAUUAAUCAGGAACGAAAGUUAGGGGAUCGAAGACGAUCAGAUACCGUCGUAGUCUUAACC
rnacentral:rRNA from 1 species